rnacentral:rRNA from 1 species
UACGGAGGGUGCAAGCGUUAAUCGGAAUUACUGGGCGUAAAGCGUGCGUAGGCGGCUUUUUAAGCCAGAUGUGAAAGCCCCGAGCUUAACUUGGGAACUGCAUUUGGAACUGGAAGGCUAGAGUUGAGUAGAGGAGAGUGGAAUUUCAGGUGUAGCGGUGAAAUGCGUAGAGAUCUGAAGGAACACCAGUGGCGAAGGCGGCUCUCUGGACUCAAACUGACGCUGAGGUACGAAAGCGUGGGUAGCAAACAGG